rfam:Firmicutes bacterium CAG:238 genomic scaffold, scf275
GUAAUGAAGAAGAAGUUAUCCGCUUCUCACCUGUGAGGUCGCGUCACCGACACAGGUUGAUAUGUUGAAAUCAGUGUGCUUACGGCACAUUUAUGAGCGGAUACUUCCUGUAUCCGCUUUUAUAUUUUUAG